ACGGGUGAGUAACGCGUGGGAACAUACCCUUUGGUUCGGAAUAACUGAGAGAAAUUUCAGCUAAUACCGGAUGUGCCCUUCGGGGGAAAGAUUUAUCGCCAAAGGACUGGCCCGCGUCUGAUUAGCUAGUUGGUGAGGUAACGGCCCACCAAGGCGACGAUCAGUAGCUGGUCUGAGAGGAUGAUCAGCCACACUGGGACUGAGACACGGCCCAGACUCCUACGGGAGGCAGCAGUGGGGAAUAUUGGACAAUGGGGGCAACCCUGAUCCAGCCAUGCCGCGUGAGUGAUGAAGGCCUUAGGGUUGUAAAGCUCUUUCGUCAGGGAAGAUAAUGACGGUACCUGAAGAAGAAGCCCCGGCUAACUUCGUGCCAGCAGCCGCGGUAAUACGAAGGGGGCUAGCGUUGUUCGGAAUUACUGGGCGUAAAGCGCACGUAGGCGGACAUUUAAGUCAGGGGUGAAAUCCCAGGGCUCAACCCUGGAACUGCCUUUGAUACUGGGUGUCUUGAGUACGAGAGAGGUGAGUGGAAUUCCGAGUGUAGAGGUGAAAUUCGUAGA
rnacentral:rRNA from 1 species